CAUGAUGACUGGAUCAAUAAUGUAGGACAAUGUGGAUCAAUGGUGCCACGCAGGAAGGGAGAAGUGGCCAGAUUCAGAGGUGAAAUUUUCUCCCAAAAAAAACAACUAAUAUCUUUUUUAAAAAUGGCACAAAGCAACGAGUGCUGGCUACUUUUCACCAUAUACUUGUACACUCAACAUGAUCAACAACGGCACACAUUGGGGGAGGAGAAAAAAAUAUAUGAAAAAACAAAAACAGUCUUCCAUACGUUCCCAUUCGCCUGCCUUCAAAAGAAUUUGCUCUCCGUGCUGUAGUGCUUCCUUAUUAGACAUGUUUUAGUGGAGAGAGAGAGCAAAGGGAAAGUAAAUAGAGAUGAAAGUGUGUGUCUGGUGGUGUGUGUGUGUGUGUGUGUGUAAAAUGGAGAGCAGCGUUGUUUGACAGGUGUAGGGAUGGCUCCAUGCUGAAACAUGGCACAUGAUCUGUUUUACACAUACAGGUCUAGGUCUGUCUGCAGAACGUCAUGUGGAUCAGCAGAACUUCCUACAG